UUCCAACAACUUCUAACUUAUUACAUGAUCCUUGAUACACAGGCAACUUAGAAAAGAAACAGAAACUGAUACUGGAACAAAACAAGGACUUUUCAAGGGACACUCCAUCACUCAUCAGGAUGAAACAAACCUGCAAACAGGAAAUGUCUGAUUAAAGAGAUUAAAAAGCUGCGUCUGAAUCCUCCGUGGCUCCAGGUCUGAUUCAGCAGGAGGUGAAAGGCAGGUGUCUUUGGGCCUCUCAGAACAGAUGGGCAUCUGAAUGGGAUGUCCAACACAUCAACUUUGCCGGUGGAAGGGUCUUAUGAAGGCUGACUGAUCAUUCAAUUGGAAGUUACCUGGUGGCUUUGUCUGGUGUGUGUUGGUUGGAUGGACAAGAAACGCUGACC